GAGUCUUAAUGAAAGAGGUCGGCUGC
rnacentral:piRNA from 1 species